rnacentral:rRNA from 1 species
AACGGGUGAGUAACACGUGGGCAAUCUGCCCUUCACUCUGGGACAAGCCCUGGAAACGGGGUCUAAUACCGGAUAACACUCUGUCCUGCAUGGGACGGGGUUAAAAGCUCCGGCGGUGAAGGAUGAGCCCGCGGCCUAUCAGCUUGUUGGUGGGGUAAUGGCCUACCAAGGCGACGACGGGUAGCCGGCCUGAGAGGGCGACCGGCCACACUGGGACUGAGACACGGCCCAGACUCCUACGGGAGGCAGCAGUGGGGAAUAUUGCACAAUGGGCGAAAGCCUGAUGCAGCGACGCCGCGUGAGGGAUGACGGCCUUCGGGUUGUAAACCUCUUUCAGCAGGGAAGAAGCGAAAGUGACGGUACCUGCAGAAGAAGCGCCGGCUAACUACGUGCCAGCAGCCGCGGUAAUACGUAGGGCGCAAGCGUUGUCCGGAAUUAUUGGGCGUAAAGAGCUCGUAGGCGGCUUGUCACGUCGGAUGUGAAAGCCCGGGGCUUAACCCCGGGUCUGCAUUCGAUACGGGCUAGCUAGAGUGUGGUAGGGGAGAUCGGAAUUCCUGGUGUAGCGGUGAAAUGCGCAGAUAUCAGGAGGAACACCGGUGGCGAAGGCGGAUCUCUGGGCCAUUACUGACGCUGAGGAGCGAAAGCGUGGGGAGCGAACAGGAUUAGAUACCCUGGUAGUCCACGCCGUAAACGUUGGGAACUAGGUGUUGGCGACAUUCCACGUCGUCGGUGCCGCAGCUAACGCAUUAAGUU